CCACUAAGUACAGACUUGGCUGUGUAGGUUGUUGAAUAUUUCAGUAAGACUUUUUAUUACAUUUAUUUAUUAACUGGAGCUGAGAGGGGCACCAUGGUAUAUGUGGAGAAUUGCUUCUCUCCUCCCAUCAUGUGGCUCCAGAGAGCCAACCCAAGCCCUCAUGCUUGGCAGCAAGCACUUUUACCUGCCAACUCUAUACUUUGAGAAAAUAUCCUACUAUGUAGACCAGGCUGUCCAUCUUCCUGCCUCAGCCUCCCAGAGGCCUGGAUUAUAGUUAUGAGGCACCAUGCCUGGCUAAUAUUUCCACUUCAGUCUUUAUCCAGAGGACUCUGAAAGGUUGCAGACAGGGAAACCAACAGGCUUAGCUGAGAUUUUAAGACGGUUUCUCAGGCUUCUCUGUACGGAGUGGGUAUCAGGACCAAGUCUGUAUGGCGCGUGCAACUGUCUCCCAAGGUGGGAACUGCACUGUAUUUAGACCCAUGGGAACAUUACCACCUUCUCCAAGAACAGGAGAUAUUUACUCCUCCAAAACAUUUUUCAAACUGAAGGGUACAAAGCAAACAGGCAAACAAAAAACCCAACCAACCAAACAGGCAAACACAAAUGAACAAAACCCACCACAACAAAAAUUUCUUAAGAACUGGUGAGUUUGGCUAACAAAAUGCUAACAGCCUUGAGGGAGCUCCGUAUCCUGCAGCUGAGGAGGCCCUCCUUCAGACUUACCACUCUAGCUCUGAAACCAGGUCGGUCAGACAACUGGCUCUUAUUUUGAAAGAACGCAAGAGUUGCUUUCACCUGAACGAUGGGAUUCGUGGCAGCUUAUCUUUUAGAUAGAGGAUGGUAGAUGGAUAUUCCUGGGAGCCAGAUCUGAGCUGCUGAGGGCCAUCAGAUUGCUCCCCAGCACAGUGCCCUCUCUUCUGCUGUCUCCAUCUCCACUACGGGUGUGUGUGUGUGUGUGUGUGUGUGUGUCUGACCGUCAUGGGUUCUUGUGUGCUUUCCUCUCUGAGGCUAGCCCUCAGCCCCUCUGCAGCAGAAAGCAACAACAGCUGUGUUUGUCCCAUCCUUUCUCUGAACGGAUGAGCCAUGCACUGAGCACUUUCCACGCGCCACGUCACAGCCUCGUGAGGAUGAGUCUGGAGGCGCUAACAUCGCUAUAUUCGCUUUACACUCGACAAGCACAAAGUGUGAGCAAUUACGUCCUUUCUUUGAGGUGACCCAUUUACAGUCGCGGGUUGGUGACUUCGUUCCUCAAUGUGUUCAUUUUUCUUGUCUCCUCUGCUUGUUUCUUCUGGCUUGCGUUUCCUACUGCCAGCCGUUCCAUUCAGCAAACUCUCCCUAGACAGAUGGAGCGUCCUCAGUUCUCAGGUGCCCUGGAGGUUUCCUGGCAACCACCUGGUCUUGAGGUCCUGAGCUGCCGUGGCAAGCGCUCUCUGCUGCCCCCUUCUGGCAAGCUAUAGCCCAGAUUCACUUCUUGGCCAACACGUUGAUGAGAGUGUGAGUUUUCCAUUCUCUUAUUUUCAUCAGUAAGAUGUCUAUGUGUGGUUGUCGGAGCUAAAAGAGGAGUGAUCAGCUGCUCAGAAUAUACUCGCAGCCUCAAAAUGAGUUGAAAAGCACGCAAGCUCUACGUGGGUCUCAACAGAAGUUAAUGAAAAGUGAAAAUACUUUCCCUUCAGAACCUGUCCAAAGUUUUCCGCGUGGCUUCUCAAGUGACUUUGUGUGCUUUUAAUGUAUUUCUUACUUACGACUUUGCUCUUGAAACUUGGCCAGAACGUUCUGGAAAAGUCAGUCCAAAGUGUAAAUUUACCAUUUUGCAAAAGUCAUUGCUUUUGAGCUUAUUAGAAAAGAGCCAAUGUGAAGUCAACAAUGACCUCUGAGAAGGCUGAGCUCUGUUUGUUUCUCUUGUGUGCCAGGCAUACAGUAAGUGUUCAGAGCACAUUCGCUGCAUUAGAAGGAGUACCUAAAUGGCUUUUUAUGAGUUGCCAAGAAGAGUUGAGAGGGAAUCUCAUUUGACUUGGGUCAACCCUGGAAUUUAUCUUAAAUACACGGUUGUUCAAAGGUUUUCCUCAAUCAAAUACAGUACAAGUAUAAAGCAAUGGGUAUCCUGAACUCUCAGGGCUAAUGACUUUGUGAAGCCUUUGAAUUUCUUACCUAUGAUUAGCGCUGUUACUUCCAGGCCAAUCAAUAGGCACAACUCUGCGAGAUUAAAAACAAUUUGGAUCAUUAUUCUCCCUUCAUUCCAUGCUCAUUAUUUCUUGUUUGAAUGAGACCUAUAAUCAGUGUUAUUUGUGAUAUUUAUGGUGAGAGUUUAAACCAAUGAUUGUUCCUCUCUUCGCAGGUAUUAAAUACCAUUUCCAGCGACCUUUCCGGGACUCUGUGCUUCCUAAUGACGUCUGCUUUUCCAGACGUUGCAGCCUUCCGAAGGAACACCAAACUUGAAAGAGUCUUGGAAAAGUAUUUGUUAUUUAAUUGAAGGCAGCUGUUCUGAAAAAGUUACCCACCUUUAUAAUGCCUUUAAAGUAGCUUUUUAUGGUAUAACAUUCAGCCUUGCAAUAUGUACAAAAUGAAAUUCCUCUGACAUUCUUUGCUAUUACAAACACUAAAUACUGUAAGUAAUAUAGUCAUAAAAUUAUGGACAACUAAAUUUGGAUUUAAUUGCUAAAAAUUAUAUUAUAUCUCCAUCCAGUUGGCCCUCUGGCGCAGAUUGCCUUAGAAAUGUCAUCAUUUAUUGUAGAAAAUACUGAAUGCAGCAUUUUCCUACCUUGUCCUUGAAUUCUUACCAAACAUCACCAAACAUCUGAUGCACGCUAUAAUAGCAGAGUUGCUUAAAUGUUGCUAUUAAUCUAAUCUUUAACCUUUAACAUUUUGUUCGAGGGAUUUCAGGAAGAGACUUAACACAGAUGUCUAAGGUCCAGAACGACCAGAGCCAAACAGCUGAAGGACGGCCAAGAGGCACAGUUUCUGAGCACGCUUUUCCUUGGAGUCAGUAUAAAGAUGAAAUAUGGCUUCUAUGAACACAGUCUUCACAGGAAAGGUCUUUCUUGUCACAGUGCCGGGCUGAUUUCCAAGCCAAGGGCACGGUACUGUAACUCCUUGCAGGUCUAUUUUUAGGUUCCCAUUUCUCAACAGGAGGCUCUAGGCUUUGAGCUAGUGACGCGCAGGCGGCAUACUGUGCAGGAAGGAGCAGACGGACUGCUCCGUGCAUCCCCAGGAGGUUGGCGCUCAGCGCCUCUCACGGGAACCCUGGUCACCUGACCCUAGCCUACUCUUGGUCUCGGGGAAGAUAAAGACUCAUCUUCCAGUUACCUGUCUGGAUUUCCUAAGAGUUCGACCCCCUCAGGUUAUCUAUUAGUCAUGCAUUGCCAGGAUCUUCCAGCUAUGACCCCAGGGGUCCAACCGGGCGGUUGGAGGGAGAGGGAGAGCGAAGUCACCAGACAACAAAGGCGCUCUGAUGGAAAAUACCAAAUGCCAUUCAUUUGUUUUUGAAAUGGAACACUGAGGACUGUAAGUCUGUAAGUAAAUAAUAAAAGCACUUCUCUUUUAUAUCAUGGCAUUUCACCGAAAAUAUGGAAGAGUGAACAUUUUAAAGCUAAAGUAAAAGACAGGGAAGACACUUCAGUGUGGGCAGAGUCUCUGAAGAGGGACAUUUCUCAUGUCAUAGUUUUGUAUUAUUUUCCCAGAAGGGAAUUGCUAGAUUGUUAAAGAGUAAUUUUGGAAUCUGUUAUGAACACCACUUUGACUUUACGAAAAGUUUGGAGCAUACAUAUUCCUAAAAUAUUUUCUUUAUCUUCGAGGGAGAUGUCAGUUUCUGCCCUGGAUGUUGGAACACAGCAUCUUCUCCAAGCCCACAUGAACUUGGACGUCUCCUGCGUCACAGCGCCAUCUUGUGGUUGUUCGCCAUUUCCCGUAUUUCAUUUGCUGCACUUUCACGGUUAGAGGCACAAACUGGACUCUCCCUAUUAAUUUUUCCCGUAGGCUGAACAGAAUCACGCAGGAUUGAAGAAGAGGCUCCCAACCUUCCACGAAAGGCCAUGGAGGGCAUGGCAUUUCCACUGGAAAAUGUGCGGCGCGCUCGCUUGGCUGGGGGAACAGUGGUAUUUACCACACAUCUGCCUCGCAGGCCCAUGCUGAGGCUCCAAGGCCCGGUUCCAGACUGGCAAGUGCUCUCCGAAGACUCGCAGCUUCCAUUCGAGAGCUGGACUAGAGCAAGUCAAGUUACGUCUCAUCACGACGAUGGUGAGCAAAUUAUUGCUGCGCAACACAAAACCAGGAAAUGAGACAGAAGACAUGAAUCUUCGCUAAUUUGCCAUGGAGUAAUGCCAGAGUUCUCCAUCUUGCAAACCCAGACCAGCUCUCCCCACACAUGAAGAUCUCACCAACUGCUGCCACACCACACUCCAGCCCCACACAUCCAACCCAUUAUUAUUAUUAUUAUUAUUAUUUAGGAAGAACUGGCUCUGCUGAUCCUUUGGUCAUCAAUUACUUUUAGACAUGAUGUUUACAUUCCAAAGGAAUUCUUGGGUUCCUUGGUAAUGCCUUGUCUUGAACACUCAACCCUGUUGACUUGUGGGGCUAGAGAACAUGACCCAACAACACUGUCAAUAAGAAAAACGACCUGCAUUCAUACCCUUUAGGAAUCUUCUGAGCGUGGCUUAAUCAAUUUUCAUUAUAGUCAUUGAAAACUUUUAAAAACUUGAUUAAAGAAAACACAAUAUAAAUUUUGCCAUCUUGGGGCUGUAGAGACGUCUCAGCAGUUGAGAACAUUUGCUGCUCUUGCAGAGGGCCUGGGUUCUGUUCUCAGUGCCCACAUGGACACAGGGUUACCCCUGUUUUGGGGAAUAUUAUGAUCUUUACAUAGAUUGGCAUAUGAUGUGUGACGUGUAGUCAAGCUUUUUCCUGGGUCCCUGAUGUUUGAGGCCUGCCCGGCUGAGGAACAUCAAAAUACAGAUGCCGUAUUUUGUGGCAGGUGGUUCCCAGCUAUCCAAAAAUAGUCCCAGGGGACUCUCCACCAUCUUCUGACCACUAAGAACAUAGGACGUGCAUGAUACACAUAUAUCCAUACAGUCAAAGCACUCAUACACUUUUUUAAAAAUCUAAAAAAAAAAAUUUCCCAUCCAUGGUAGUUUGAAUGUUGACCCCCACAAGCUCAUAGGGAGUGGCACUACCAGGAGGCACUUUGUUAUACCUCUUUUGUUGGAGUGGGUGUGGCCUUGUUGGAGGAAGUGUGUCACUGUGGGGGUGGGCUUUGAGGUCUCAUAUAUGCCCAACCCGUGCCCAGUGCCUCAGUACAUUUCCCAUUGCCUUCUGAUCAAGAUGUAGCCAGAAUCACGUCUACCUGCAUGCCACCA